rnacentral:lncRNA from 1 species
CUUGGAAAUGCUUUGAAAAAGCUCUGAAUUCAUUAUAUAGAAUAUUAAGCUUGGAAACUUUAAAGGGUACCCCUUGGGCAGAAAAAAGUAAACACACAUUCCUAGAGACCUAGGCAAAGCGUAGGGUUCCCCCACGACUGAGGAAGGCUAAUCCUGAAAAUAACUUCUACUGAGAGUUGAGGAAGUGGCGGCUGGCGUGGGGACGGGAGGCAAGACAUUGAUAAAGGCAGAGUUGACAUAAACGGACAUGCGGGGGCGUCGGGCGGGGGUGGGUGCUGUAGGCAACAGGUCUCCCCACCAAAGCGGAACCCAGCACCCACCUUCAGCAGACUACGAAAUGCCGACCAAGUCACAAGGCCACAGUGAGCACGGUAGAAAGCAAUGGUGAAAGGCAGUUUUCCUCGAAUGAGAGCAUCAGACAGGCAUGCCCGGGACCAGCUGUGGGAAUCCUGAGAGACAGACAUGAAGCACUUCACUUGGAAAUGCUUUCUUAGUCUUUCAAUUUAACAUUCAAAGGGAUGAGGGAUUUUUAUCAACAGCAGCCAGCUGCAAUGCAAAGUCAUGCUUUCUAGUCUCAGUUCAAAUGGACAUUUCCCUUAUUUUAGCCGUGCAUAUCACAGUCUCCAUUUUCAAGCCAAUUCUGGUUUAAAGGUGACCCUGCUCUUAAAAAUCAUUAAAUAAUAAGUGGUCUCACUCUAAUUUUUCAGCUUCUCUCUGACUUUACAACUCACUAAAAGGAAGGUUCUGCCUGCCGCCCGUGAGCUUCUAAAGAAUAAAGUGGAAUAAAAUUUGCCUUCUCUUUGGGGAGGUCGUCUUUGGUGUUCUAACAUGCACACAUGAAGCUUCAACCGUUAGAAAGGUUUUCAAUGCUUUCCGCAGAGGCGCAAGGUAGAAACCUUGUGGCCUACCAUUAAAUAAUAACAAAAGCCGCCACAAAACAUCAGGGAUUGCCAUGGGCUUAGUCACUUACGUUUCAAAAUGUUCCUCUGUUCCAGUUCCUCUGCAGUUGGCCUCUGGCUCAGCCGCCUACGGAAAAAAUCCAGGAAAAGUUUUUGGACCAUAUCAUAGCCUCCUUGGGUCAUUAAUUUCCUCGGCCCUUGCAGAUACAUGAGACAGUCAGUGGCUGGAGUUCUUGUU